CUGGGUGCGGAAACCGGAGAGGGAAACACCCGGCUCCAUUUCGAACCCGGCCGUUAAGCCACUCCGGGCCGAUGGUAGUACGGGUCAAGCCCGUGCGAGAGUAGGUAGCGCCCAGA
rnacentral:rRNA from 1 species